ACUCCUACGGGAGGCAGCAGUGGGGAAUUUUGGACAAUGGGCGAAAGCCUGAUCCAGCAAUGCCGCGUGAGUGAAGAAGGCCUUCGGGUUGUAAAGCUCUUUUGUCAGGGAAGAAACGGUGAAAGCUAAUAUCUUUUGCUAAUGACGGUACCUGAAGAAUAAGCACCGGCUAACUACGUGCCAGCAGCCGCGGUAAUACGUAGGGUGCAAGCGUUAAUCGGAAUUACUGGGCGUAAAGCGUGCGCAGGCGGUUUUGUAAGUCUGAUGUGAAAUCCCCGGGCUCAACCUGGGAAUUGCAUUGGAGACUGCAAGGCUAGAAUCUGGCAGAGGGGGGUAGAAUUCCACGUGUAGCAGUGAAAUGCGUAGAUAUGUGGAGGAACACCGAUGGCGAAGGCAGCCCCCUGGGUCAAGAUUGACGCUCAUGCACGAAAGCGUGGGGAGCAAACAGGAUUAGAAACCCUUGUAGUCCCAUGAU
rnacentral:rRNA from 1 species